ACUAAUGGAUAACUAACUGUUGCCUAGGGGACCUCAAAAGAACCUAAUCACAUUAAACAUGCCCACAGUAAACAAAAACAAAGUAAAACAACAAAACACAAAACAAGAAAGAAAUGAAAAGUCCCCUGAUCUAACCCAUUUCCUCUCCAUACAACUUUCAGGCUCUUAAGCACCAUCACUUCGACGAGGUAACAAGAAAAAACAAACUCUAGUGAGAGGAAAACUGGAAAACCUCACAUCAAGCUUACGAGUUCAUCGGACAACCCGUUGUCCUCGAAUUCGGACUCAGCCUUUACGAAUGGUCACUUCCCCUAACCCCUCUCCUAUCCUUGUCAACAAGCCAUUCCACCUCUCUCCGGACCUCUUCUACCCAAUACAUAGGGCAGUUGUACUUCCUGCCCUCCAACACCAAUCCAUGCAUCGUCGCAUUAGCCUCCCAAGAGUUCAAUUUUUGGAUGACUAUUAGAGCAUCCCCAUUGGCACACAUUCCAAAAACCCAACUCUUCUGCAAAAAAAACCACCUUUAAACAUGUUUGUGCCUAGCCAUGGUUGGAUCUGGAAUGUUCUCCCACAGGGAAGUGCAUAACGCCAUGACCAAUCCUUCUCUAUUUCAUGCUAUUAUGCCAGAAUAUGAUGUCUGUAACUGGUGAUUAAAAGAUGUGUUGAAGUUAAGCUUAAUAGUGUCCCCUUCCGCUGGCUCCAAAAUAGAUUACUUAGGGAUAUGUAUUGAAUUUGAUAACUCACUCAAUUGCUCUAUCUCCAUUAUAUAUGAAUUUAUGAAUCCCACAACAUCCUAGAUCCCAUCCCUAUACCCUCAUGAUACACUUUGUUAUAGUUGUACCACAAAACCCAGUAAGAGAUGGCUAACCAUUGUUUCUAACUGUGUUGCAUGUUAACUGCCGAGAGAGCCACACCAACUCACCUAGGACCUGCUUCGAGAAAACACAGUCACAAAAUAAAUGGGCCACCAACUCCUCCUCUACUUCACAAACCGGAUAAAGUGAAUUCGCAACAAGCUUAUAGGACUUCAGCACCCCCAACACUAGCAAAAAAUCAUUAGAUACUUUCCAGAAAUCUAUACGGAUUUUAUUAGGAAUGCUUAGACUCCAUAGUCUUGUAUAAAAGUUAGAUAGAUUCACUAUUUUUUCUAUGUAAUUAACCCCCAGUAUGUCACGCCCUUCUAUAAUGAGCCAUCUGUAACGGAUUCUUGUUAUGUAAUCCCCUACUUCAUCCCCCUCCAAA